rnacentral:lncRNA from 1 species
UAUAAAAAUUUUACCUCUGUACCGUCACUGUACAUAUUUUCCACUAUCUUACAUAUGUCCAAAAUCUCAUAUGAUUAUUUACAAUCCAUGUAAAACUUCACGAUAUACUUGUAACGCCCCCAAUAAUCCCACAUCGGAUGGGAUACUGAUUCCGAUCAGUUUAUAUAAGACCUACACGGUAGUAAUAGUAAUUGGGCUUAAGCAUUUUGGGUCGGUGGUUUGGGCCCAACGAGUUAUUGUUGCUAGCGGGUUGGGUCGUUGCAAUACUCAAUAAGGAGAACCACAAAAAUUUAAUAAAAUUCUUAGUAAA